CAGGCCUAACACAUGCAAGUCGAACGAAGGCUUCGGCCUUAGUGGCGCACGGGUGCGUAACGCGUGGGAAUCUGCCCUUGGGUUCGGAAUAACAGCGGGAAACUGCUGCUAAUACCGGAUGAUGACGUAAGUCCAAAGAUUUAUCGCCCAAGGAUGAGCCCGCGUAGGAUUAGCUAGUUGGUGGGGUAAAGGCCCACCAAGGCGACGAUCCUUAGCUGGUCUGAGAGGAUGAUCAGCCACACUGGGACUGAGACACGGCCCAGACUCCUACGGGAGGCAGCAGUGGGGAAUAUUGGACAAUGGGCGCAAGCCUGAUCCAGCCAUGCCGCGUGAGUGAUGAAGGCCUUAGGGUUGUAAAGCUCUUUUACCCGGGAUGAUAAUGACAGUACCGGGAGAAUAAGCUCCGGCUAACUCCGUGCCAGCAGCCGCGGUAAU
rnacentral:rRNA from 1 species